rnacentral:rRNA from 1 species
CCCUUAGAUGUUCUGGGCUGCACGCGUGCUACACUGAUAUUGCCAAUAUGUCAUUCUUAUCCGAAAUGGAUUGGGUAAUCAAGUAAUGAAAUUUCAUGUUUGGAAUCGGUAAUUGCAAUUUUAUCGUGAACGAGGAAUUCCUAGUAAGCACUAGUCAUCAGCUAAUGUUGAUUAUGUCCCUGCCCUUUGUACACACCGCCCGUCGCUACUACUGAUUGGGUGUUCAAGUGAGAUGCUUAGACCCUUGUUGCAUGGUUCAUUAUUGUGCUCCGAAAGGAAAAAGUUUCAAGCUUGAGUGUCUAGAGGAAGUAAAAGUCGUAACA